rnacentral:rRNA from 1 species
GACGGAGGAUGCAAGUGUUAUCCGGAAUCAUUGGGCGUAAAGAGCGUGUAGGCGGCCACUUAAGUCCUGCGUGAAAUCUUGCGGCUCAACCGCAAGCGGUCGUGGGAAACUGGGUGGCUAGAGUGCGGGAGAGGAGAGUGGAAUUCCUGGUGUAGCGGUGGAAUGCGCAGAUAUCAGGAAGAACACCCGUGGCGAAGGCGGCUCUCUGGAACGCAACUGACGCUGAGACGCGAAAGCGUGGGGAGCAAACAGG